GAUGAACGCUGGCGGCGUGCUUAACACAUGCAAGUCGAGCGAAGCACUUAAGUUUGAUUCUUCGGAUGAAGACUUUUGUGACUGAGCGGCGGACGGGUGAGUAACGCGUGGGUAACCUGCCUCAUACAGGGGGAUAACAGUUAGAAAUGGCUGCUAAUACCGCAUAAGACCACAGUACUGCAUGGUACAGUGGUAAAAACUCCGGUGGUAUGAGAUGGACCCGCGUCUGAUUAGGUAGUUGGUGAGGUAACGGCCCACCAAGCCGACGAUCAGUAGCCGACCUGAGAGGGUGACCGGCCACAUUGGGACUGAGACACGGCCCAGACUCCUACGGGAGGCAGCAGUGGGGAAUAUUGCACAAUGGGCGAAAGCCUGAUGCAGCGACGCCGCGUGAAGGAUGAAGUAUUUCGGUAUGUAAACUUCUAUCAGCAGGGAAGAAAAUGACGGUACCUGACUAAGAAGCCCCGGCUAACUACGUGCCAGCAGCCGCGGUAAUACGUAGGGGGCAAGCGUUAUCCGGAUUUACUGGGUGUAAAGGGAGCGUAGACGGCUGUGCAAGUCUGAAGUGAAAGGCAUGGGCUCAACCUGUGGACUGCUUUGGAAACUGUGCAGCUAGAGUGUCGGAGAGGUAAGUGGAAUUCCUAGUGUAGCGGUGAAAUGCGUAGAUAUUAGGAGGAACACCAGUGGCGAAGGCGGCUUACUGGACGAUGACUGACGUUGAGGCUCGAAAGCGUGGGGAGCAAACAAGA
rnacentral:rRNA from 1 species